ACCGUCCUUGAAUGCAUGCGGUCCUCGUUUGAUCAUGCAGCGGAACGCGAAGGCCAACGCAGUUCACGGGUUGUCCCAGCCUUUUUGCGUGGAUUCACCACAUGACACCACUGAGUUCUGGACUCUGGUACUCACACACGAACUCGCCAAGCACAUCUUCAUUCUUCGUGUGACCAUUUCGACGCGCCGCUGCACGUACAUGCGCGGGUAUCGAGUAGGUUAUGUCACUCAACACAACACUCCUGACUGUUUACUUAUAUAACAGUAGUUGGUGUUUGUUAUCAUGGUUAUGGCCCGUAGAGUCUACGCGGUACUAGUAGAAGCCUGGCUGUAGCACUAGCAGCCACUUUCUCUCAAGAAUGUCAAGCAUUUCGAGCCAGAUGAAGACUGUGUCAAAACGGGGACAGCGAAAGGUCUUGUCUGUAGAGUCUUGACAGCUGGAUUCUCCCACACGCUGAGUUUGGUCUUACAGUUAGCGCUACCAAGACAGUUCUUCGUCGCGGGCAGGGAUGUUUCGCCUGGGGUCUGCGCUCCAAUCGAGCUAGCACACCCAACUCUUGGAGAUGUGGGGUGACACUGAUACCGUCUGCACGAAGGCUGCACAGCGUCGGCUAGAGUGGUUGGGCCAUGUGCCUGGAUGGACAGUAGCCGGAUGCCGAGACAGAUCCUGUUUGGCUCACUUCCCACACGUCGCCCAGCACAUGGCCCUCGCAAGCGCUGGAAGGAUUGCGUUGUGUCCGAUCUAAGAGUCCGUGGCCUCACCAAGGACUGGUAUCCUACCGCCUGUAAGUCCCGCGCUGACUGGCGGGCUAUGUAUGCCGAGCCUGUGGAGAAUGCGCCUAAGCCUGGCCCAGUGGCAUGUACGGAUUGCAAUCGGUCAUUCUCGCGCCCUGCAGAUCGCCGUGCUCGCCACAAAUGUGUGGUUUCGCGGGCCAAGCCGAUUGCUGAGCAGCGAGGGGCUUGUCACUGUGGAGAUUGUGGGCUUUGGUUUCGCAGCAAGGGUGGUCUAGCUGUUCACCGCUGUUCCGCUCCUCAACCUCCCGAUCCCUGUCAAGUCUAUGUACAGGAUGCCUGCUGUGCUGCGCACUGUGCUGUGUGUGCCAGCUGCUUUCGGACUGUGUAAGGCUGCGGUCGUCACCGGUGUUCGAGGACUGGUCCCCGCCUGACUGCCCAGCAGCGUAAUUCGUUCUCUCAUGUAUGCGUGUGUUCUCGCUGGUUCCGUUUGCUCCACCAUCUCCGGCGUCAUCAGGCCGCGUGCUCCAUCUUCCUCUCUGAUGCCCCUCCGGGGCCCACGUGACCCCUGUGGCAGUGGCUCUACAGGACAGGACAGGUGUGUGUGUGUGUGCAUGUGUGUGCGCGUGUCGUGUGUGUGUAUGUGCAUGUGUGUGUGUGUGUGUGUGCAUGUGUGUGUGUGUGUGUGUGUGUGUUAUCGCUGCUCACGGACCUGUAGUCGUCCGACCGUUCAGGACCGUCAGGGUUUCACAUGCGUUUGCGCCUGCUCCCGCCGAUUUCGCUUACCGCAUCACCUGGAUCGUCACAGGGCUGUGUGCUCCUCCUCUCUCUCAGCUGCCCCUCCGGGCCCACGUAACCUUCAUGGCAGUGGCUCAACAGGACAGGAGAGGUUCAAACCGUGCUGCCGGAGUGAAACCCUGUGCCUAAAACCAGUCGCCAGGCAUUAACAUCUCAGCUGCAGCUUAUAGCCUUGUGUGCCGAUGUGUGAUUUUUAAACUUGGGUAGUUUUCUAUGUACACUUGACAGCAUAGCUAGAUACUAUGGGGUCUCAGCAUGACAACACAACGUACUUCAAGUACAUUCAUUCUUGACACCAUGCUGUAUGGUAACAAUCCAUGCCAAGACCUGCCCAUGGGUGGAGAAUGUGGAGGACUGACAAAAGAUCUAACACAAACAGGCUGACACCAAAACACAGGCAGGAGCAUGAACAUGAUGAAGGCAGUUCAGUCAUGAUUCCGAGUUUGCAACAUCACGCGUAAGUUACACUACACUAAUCGUGUUUGUGAUAGGUGAUAAUCUUGGCAGGUUGUUAUCUGUUACUUCUAGCCAACGACACACGUUACGUAUA